UCUGGGACAAGCCCUGGAAACGGGGUCUAAUACCGGAUGUCACUUCCACUCGCAUGGGUGGGGGUUGAAAGCUCCGGCGGUGCAGGAUGGGCCCGCGGCCUAUCAGCUUGUUGGUGAGGUAAUGGCUCACCAAGGCGACGACGGGUAGCCGGCCUGAGAGGGCGACCGGCCACACUGGGACUGAGACACGGCCCAGACUCCUACGGGAGGCAGCAGUGGGGAAUAUUGCACAAUGGGCGCAAGCCUGAUGCAGCGACGCCGCGUGAGGGAUGACGGCCUUCGGGUUGUAAACCUCUUUCAGCAGGGAAGAAGCGAAAGUGACGGUACCUGCAGAAGAAGCGCCGGCUAACUACGUGCCAGCAGCCGCGGUAAUACGUAGGGCGCAAGCGUUGUCCGGAAUUAUUGGGCGUAAAGAGCUCGUAGGCGGCUUGUCGCGUCGGUUGUGAAAGCCCGGGGCUUAACCCCGGGUCUGCAGUCGAUACGGGCAGGCUAGAGUUCGGUAGGGGAGAUCGGAAUUCCUGGUGUAGCGGUGAAAUGCGCAGAUAUCAGGAGGAACACCGGUGGCGAAGGCGGAUCUCUGGGCCGAUACUGACGCUGAGGAGCGAAAGCGUGGGGAGCGAACAGGAUUAGAUACCCUGGUAGUCCACGCCGUAAACGGUGGGAACUAGGUGUUGGCGACAUUCCACGUCGUCGGUGCCGCAGCUAACGCAUUAAGUUCCCCGCCUGG
rnacentral:rRNA from 1 species